rnacentral:rRNA from 1 species
GAUGCUAUUUCUAGAGAUAGAAAGUUACUUCGGUACAUCGGUGACAGGUGGUGCAUGGUUGUCGUCAGCUCGUGUCGUGAGAUGUUGGGUUAAGUCCCGCAACGAGCGCAACCCCUAUUGUUAGUUGCCAUCAUUCAGUUGGGCACUCUAGCGAGACUGCCGGUAAUAAACCGGAGGAAGGUGGGGAUGACGUCAAAUCAUCAUGCCCCUUAUGACCUGGGCUACACACGUGCUACAAUGGUUGGUACAACGAGUUGCGAGUCGGUGACGGCGAGCUAAUCUCUUAAAGCCAAUCUCAGUUCGGAUUGUAGGCUGCAACUCGCCUACAUGAAGUCGGAAUCGCUAGUAAUCGCGGAUCAGCCAUGCCGCGGUGAAUACGUUCCCGGGCCUU